rnacentral:rRNA from 1 species
CAUGUGGUUUAAUUCGAAGCAACGCGAAGAACCUUACCAGGUCUUGACAUCCAACUAACGAGGCAGAGAUGCGUCAGGUGCCCUUCGGGGAAAGUUGAGACAGGUGGUGCAUGGUUGUCGUCAGCUCGUGUCGUGAGAUGUUGGGUUAAGUCCCGCAACGAGCGCAACCCUUGUCAAUAGUUGCUACGCGAGAGCACUCUAUUGAGACCGCCGUUGACAAAACGGAGGAAGGUGGGGAUGACGUCAAAUCAUCAUGCCCCUUAUGACCUGGGCUACACACGUGCUACAAUGGGCGGUACAAAGGGUCGCGAACCCGCGAGGGGGAGCCAAUCCCAAAAAGCCGCUCUCAGUUCGGAUUGCAGGCUGCAACUCGCCUGCAUGAAGCCGGAAUCGCUAGUAAUCGCGGAUCAGCAUGCCGCGGUGAAUACGUUCCCGGGCCUU